rnacentral:rRNA from 1 species
CCUACGGGGGGCUGCAGUGGGGAAUAUUGGACAAUGGGGGGAACCCUGAUCCAGCCAUGCCGCGUGUGUGAAGAAGGCCCUCGGGUUGUAAAGCACUUUCAGUGAGGAAGAACGCCUGGUGGUUAAUACCCAUCAGGAAAGACAUCACUCACAGAAGAAGCACCGGCUAACUCCGUGCCAGCAGCCGCGGUAAUACGGAGGGUGCGAGCGUUAAUCGGAAUUACUGGGCGUAAAGCGCGCGUAGGUGGCUUGAUAAGCCGGUUGUGAAAGCCUCGGGCUCAACCUGGGAACGGCAUCCGGAACUGUCAAGCUAGAGUGCAGGAGAGGAAGGUAGAAUUCCCGGUGUAGCGGUGAAAUGCGUAGAGAUCGGGAGGAAUACCAGUGGCGAAGGCGGCCUUCUGGACUGACACUGACACUGAGGUGCGAAAGCGUGGGUAGCAAACAGGAUUAGAUACCCCAGUAGUC